rnacentral:snRNA from 1 species
GGAUGUGAGGGCAAUCUGGUUGCGACAUCUGUCACCCCAUUGAUCGCCAGGGUUGAUUCGGCUGAUCUGGCUGGCUAGGCGGGUGUCCCCUUCCUCCCUCACCGCUCCAUGUGCGUCCCUCCCGAAGCUGCGCGCUCGGUCGAAGAGGACGACCAUCCCCGCUAGAGGAGGACCGGUCUUCGGUCAAGGGUAUACGAGUAGCUGCGCUCCCCUGCUAGAACCUCCAAACAAGCUCUCAAGGUCCAUUUGUAGGAGAACGUAGGGUAGUCAAGCUUCCAAGACUCCAGACACAUCCAAAUGAGGCGCUGCACGUGGCAGUCUGCCUUUCUUU